CUACGGGGGGCAGCAGUGAGGAAUAUUGGUCAAUGGACGAGAGUCUGAACCAGCCAAGUCGCGUGAAGGAUGAAGGUGCUAUGCAUUGUAAACUUCUUUUGUAAGGGAAUAAAAAGAGUUACGUGUAACUUAUUGUAUGUACUUUACGAAUAAGGAUCGGCUAACUCCGUGCCAGCAGCCGCGGUAAUACGGAGGAUUCGAGCGUUAUCCGGAUUUAUUGGGUUUAAAGGGUGCGUAGGCGGAAGAAUAAGUCAGCGGUGAAAGUUUGCAGCUCAACUGUAAAAUUGCCAUUGAAACUGUUUUUCUUGAGUGCAAAUGAGGUAGGCGGAAUGUGUUGUGUAGCGGUGAAAUGCUUAGAUAUAACACAGAACCCCGAUUGCGAAGGCAGCUUACUGGGAUGCAACUGACGCUGAGGCACGAAAGCGUGGGGAUCAAACAGGAUUAGAUACCCUGGUAGUC
rnacentral:rRNA from 1 species